rnacentral:rRNA from 1 species
UACGGAGGAUGCAAGCGUUAUCCGGAAUGAUUGGGCGUAAAGCGUCCGCAGGUGGCUGUGUAAGUCUGCUGUUAAAGAGUCUAGCUCAACUAGAUAAGAGCAGUGGAAACUACACGGCUAGAGUACGUUCGGGGCAGAGGGAAUUCCUGGUGUAGCGGUGAAAUGCGUAGAGAUCAGGAAGAACACCGGUGGCGAAGGCGCUCUGCUAGGCCGUAACUGACACUGAGGAGCGAAAGCGUGGGGAGCGAACAGG